GCAUUAGCUAGUUGGUGAGGUAACGGCCCACCAAGGCGACGAUGCAUAGCCGGCCUGAGAGGGCGGACGGCCACAUUGGGACUGAGACACGGCCCAAACUCCUACGGGAGGCAGCAGUAGGGAAUUUUCGUCAAUGGGGGGAACCCUGAACGAGCAAUGCCGCGUGAGUGAGGAAGGUCUUCGGAUCUAAAGCUCUGUUGUAAGAGAAAAACGACAUUCAUAGGGAAUGAUGAGUGAGUGAUGGUAUCUUACCAGAAAGUCACGGCUAACUACGUGCCAGCAGCCGCGGUAAUACGUAGGUGGCGAGCGUUAUCCGGAAUGAUUGGGCGUAAAGGGUGCGUAGGUGGCAGAUCAAGUCUGGAGUAAAAGGUAUGGGCUCAACCCGUACUGGCUCUGGAAACUGAUCAGCUAGAGAACAGAAGAGGACGGCGGAACUCCAUGUGUAGCGGUAAAAUGCGUAGAUAUAUGGAAGAACACCGGUGGCGAAGGCGGCCGUCUGGUCUGGAUUCUGACACUGAAGCACGAAAGCGUGGGGAGCAAAUAGGAUUAGAUACCCUAGUAGUCCACGCCAUAAACGAUGAGAACUAGGUGUUGGGGGAAUAACUCAGUGCCGCAGUUAACGCAGUAAGUUCUCCGCCUGGGGAGUAUGCACGCAAGUGUGAAACUCAAAGGAAUUGACGGGGGCCCGCACAAGCGGUGGAGUAUGUGGUUUAAUUCGAAGCAACGCGAAGAACCUUACCAGGCCUUGACAUCCCUUGCGGAGGUAUAGAGAUAUAUCCGAGGUUACCAAGGAGACAGGUGGUGCAUGGUUGUCGUCAGCUCGUGUCGUGAGAUGUUGGGUUAAGUCCCGCAACGAGCGCAACCCUUGUGAUAUGUUACUAACAUUGAGUUGAGGACUCAUAUCAGACUGCCGGUGAUAAACCGGAGGAAGGUGGGGAUGACGUCAAAUCAUCAUGCCCCUUAUGGCCUGGGCUACACACGUACUACAAUGGCGUCUACAAAGAGCGGCAAGCCUGUGAAGGCAAGCGAAUCUCAUAAAGGGCGUCUCAGUUCGGAUUGAAGUCUGCAACCCGACUUCAUGAAGCUGGAAUCGCUAGUAAUCGCGAAUCAGCAUGUCGCGGUGAAUACGUUCUCGGGCCUUGUACACACCGCCCGUCAAACCAUGGGAGUUGGUAAUGCCCGAAGCCGGUGGCGUAACCC
rnacentral:rRNA from 1 species